rnacentral:rRNA from 1 species
AAUGAACGCUGGCGGCAGGCCUAACACAUGCAAGUCGAGCGCGCCCCAUUAACUUCGGUUGGCGGGGUGAGCGGCGGACGGGUGGGUAACGCGUGGGAACGUACCCUUUGCUACGGAAUAGUCUCGGGAAACUGGGGGGUAAUACCGUAUGUGCCCCUUCGGGGGAAAGAUUUAUCGCCAAAGGAUUAGCCCGCGUUGGAUUAGGUAGUUGGUAGGGUAACGGCCUACCAAGCCGACGAUCAGUAGGGGGUGUGAGAGCAUGGCCCCCCACACGGGUACUGAGACACGGACCCGACUCCUACGGGAGGCAGCAGUAAGGAAUAUUGGUCAAUGGAGGCAACUCUGAACCAGCCAUUCCGCGUGAAGGAUGAAUGCCCUCUGGGUUGUAAACUUCUUUAGUCUGGGAAGAAAAACAUAUAUUCGUAUGUGUCUGACGGUACCAGAAGAAUAAGCACCGGCUAACUCCGUGCCAGCAGCCGCGGUAAAGUACAGUGU